CACGUAGGGGGCAAGCGUUGUCCGGAAUCAUUGGGCGUAAAGAGCUCGUAGGCGGCUCAAUAAGUCGGGUGUGAAACCCCCAGGCUCAACCUGGGGACGCCACCCGAUACUGUUGUGGCUAGAGUCCAGUAGGGGAGUGUGGAAUUCCCGGUGUAGCGGUGAAAUGCGCAGAUAUCGGGAGGAACACCAGCGGCGAAGGCGGCACUCUGGGCUGGUACUGACGCUGAGGAGCGAAAGCGUGGGUAGCAAACAGG
rnacentral:rRNA from 1 species